ACCCUUCUUUGAAAAAUAAAAGGAGCAAGUAAGAAAAAUUGAAGAAAAUGAGGGCUCCUUGCCGAGGGAUUUGUCACGCAGUCCAAAAGAGAAGAUCAUGGUUUGAAGGUCUUAAAACAAGAGAAAUAAUGAUAAUGCAUAUUUGUUUACUCAUGCAAUGAACAUCAUUUGUUGGGCGAAAUGAGGACAGGAAGCUCAUAACUGGUGCAUACAGUGUUGCUGACGUCUAUUGAUGCCACAGUGGGGAGAUCCAAGGCUGGAAAUACUUACGUGUUUAUGAGGUGAAACAAAAGUUCAAGGAAGGGAAAUUCAUAAUCGAGAUAGUGAAAAUCGCCAAGGAAUAUUAAUAAUCCUAAAUGUGAAGACAUAUUCAUAACAGAUUCCAUUAGAAAAAAGGGUCCCUGCUUCAUUUGUCCCAGAUAGAAUAUGAGCAUGUUGGUUCCAUAUUUUCAACUGUACUCACUAUAGUCUAUAUAGGUGCUUUGUACCCAAAACUUGAAGGUUUAUUGGAUAACUAAGUUCUAUAUUGCUAA